GGUGAAGCCCAGCUUGCUGGGUGGAUCAGUGGCGAACGGGUGAGUAACACGUGAGCAACCUGCCCUCCACUUCGGGAUAAGCCUUGGAAACGGGGUCUAAUACCGGAUAUGAGCGCCUGCCGCAUGGUGGGUGUUGGAAAGUUUUUCGGUGGGGGAUGGGCUCGCGGCCUAUCAGCUUGUUGGUGGGGUGAUGGCCUACCAAGGCGUCGACGGGUAGCCGGCCUGAGAGGGCGACCGGCCACACUGGGACUGAGACACGGCCCAGACUCCUACGGGAGGCAGCAGUGGGGAAUAUUGCACAAUGGGCGCAAGCCUGAUGCAGCGACGCCGCGUGAGGGAUGACGGCCUUCGGGUUGUAAACCUCUUUCAGCAGGGAAGAAGCGCAAGUGACGGUACCUGCAGAAGAAGCGCCGGCUAACUACGUGCCAGCAGCCGCGGUAAUACGUAGGGCGCAAGCGUUGUCCGGAAUUAUUGGGCGUAAAGAGCUCGUAGGCGGUCUGUCGCGUCUGGUGUGAAAACCCGAGGCUCAACCUCGGGCUUGCAUCGGGUACGGGCAGACUAGAGUGCGGUAGGGGAGACUGGAAUUCCUGGUGUAGCGGUGGAAUGCGCAGAUAUCAGGAGGAACACCGAUGGCGAAGGCAGGUCUCUGGGCCGCAACUGACGCUGAGGAGCGAAAGCAUGGGGAGCGAACAGGAUUAGAUACCCUGGUAGUCCAUGCCGUAAACGUUGGGCACUAGGUGUGGGGCUCA
rnacentral:rRNA from 1 species